UACGGAGGGAGCUAGCGUUAUUCGGAAUUACUGGGCGUAAAGCGUGCGCAGGCGGCUUUGCAAGACAGAUGUGAAAUCCCCGGGCUUAACCUGGGAACUGCAUUUGUGACUGCAUGGCUAGAGUGCGGCAGAGGGGGAUGGAAUUCCGCGUGUAGCAGUGAAAUGCGUAGAUAUGCGGAGGAACACCGAUGGCGAAGGCAAUCCCCUGGGCCUGCACUGACGCUCAUGCACGAAAGCGUGGGGAGCAAACAGG
rnacentral:rRNA from 1 species